AAACGCCCGGUACAAGAAAGAAGGAAAAUAUAAAGAGUCGGGGGUCAAAGGCAUUAUGCACGAUGGUCUUAUAUUUUUCAACAUAGUUCACUCAUCGAAUAUUGCUUGGAGCUCCAGACGAAACCCUAGGGCUCACGGCUCUGGACGUAAACCCAGAGUCCACCAAUAGCAUUUGCAAUCACCGAUUUUUGCCAUCUCAAUCCGUCAUUAUAUCAGCACGACGUGAUUCCGCGUUUUAUUGGCUAAAGACGUGGGCUGGGGAGACGCAGGUCUGCAUACCCUCACGAAUCUGCACAGAUGUUAUUUCUUCCUGCAACGGCAUAGGGAUUCAAAUCGGGCUCCUUCAGACUUGGUCACAAUUGGCGGCAGAGCUGGCUGAAGACAUUUCGUGGGUGCUUGAGUAUGCUCGCUGUCAUUUUGUAUGGGCUUUUAAGAUACAAACUACAUCCGCAGCCUGGAGUUUUCAACGCAGGAUAUGUGGUCUUCCUGAGUUUGCCCUAGGAUUGUGCCUGGGCCUGGCUAUUUGGCCAAGGUAUGUCUCAACCUUUCCCAGUCCAAAUGGCCAGGAGCAGAAUGUGCCAUGCCCAAGCUGUGAGAGCAUGUCCUGCAGGUAUCUCUGCUUAACAGGAAUCAGUUCGAUCCAGGUUUGGAAUGAAAGGUUUGCUAGUCACACUUUUCUACCAUUAUAAUCACCUUGGAAGCAACAACAACAAAGGAAGAUCAACACUUGGAGUUUCAAUUGUGGAGGAUGAGCUGCAAGUGUCAAGGAGCUUCUAGGUUUCAACUCUUGUAAAUCAAGUCACCAUUAGAGGCUAGAGCAACAUCUUUUUUAAAUCACCAGAGGGCCAUUGUAUUGUAAAUGGUUUCCACAACUAAAUGUCUCCAUGACUCCGUUUGUAGAUCUUUAGGGAAACUUUAUGCCUAGGUUAUCUCUUUCUACAUUUGUUAGUAUAAUUGUAAUAGUUAUUUCAUGAAUGUAAACAACAUUCUAAGUCAUUCCAAGCUUUUCAA